rnacentral:misc_RNA from 1 species
UGUGAUUUUAAGGAAAACAAAGAUCUUAACCUGUGAAUUUCAUUUUCUUAAUUUGUGAAUUGUUAGGGAAUUUGCGCUCUGAAUGCCCAAUUCACAAGCAAUGCAACUGUGCAGCACCAUGUAGUGCAACAGCUUUGCUCAAAUUAUACCUGCAAAACGGAUAUUGGCGAUUGUGAGAACAUGACUAAAAGAAAGUAUGAAGUCACAUGUGAUCAUAUAGCGCACAUAAUCAGUGGGUUUAUUAAUUCAUGCAACCUUCUAGGCCAAAAUAUCAAAAAUAAAAGAAAAAUAGGCAUGUGUAGUUUUUUAAUGGUUUAAUAGUGCAAUUUAAAAUACCUUUAUCAUAUCCUUGAGUUAUUUGUUUCUGUUUAUUCAUUCAUUGCAAAAACUAAUAAAGAAAAUAUAUGUAGGACAACCGAGAAAUAAUAGCUUGAUGACUUAAGGGUGUGGGCUUAGGAUAUUUAAUGGUAUGGCAGAAGGGAUAAAAUACUAAAAUUUAGAUAUCCUAAUGAUACUUGGAGAAGUUUAAUAAAAUAGAAGUCCUAAAAACUCUGGGAAUACCUUAAAUAUAGAGAAAUAGAACCUAAACUAACUAAAUUACUAAAAUUACAAAAAUUCUGUUAUAAAUAAUGUUAUAUAGUUAUAGUAUUCUUGUAGCCCCUAUGCACAUAACCUCAAACUCCUUAGUUAUCCCAUUGUUUGCUUUGACCAGACAUCAAUUCCAUGCUCCUUUCACAGAAAGUUCAGAUCAAAUCCUGCAGAAGCAAUUAAGUAGAGAUCAUUUAACCAAAUCCCCUUGCAAUAUUUUGCACACUUGCAUAGAAACAAAUAUUCCACAAUAGAGGUAUUUUAUUUGUUUGAAGUUCAUAAAUUUAAUAUGAUAGAAGACAUCCUAAUAAUUAAACAAGGCAAACUUAAAACAACAAACACUGUUUAUGAUUGGGGGAUUUAGUAACUUCAACUUUUGACUUUAUUCUAAAAUAGUUAUGUACGGGUAUUGCCUUUUAACCUUCCAAAUUGAUAACAAAUUUUUGGAAAAUAAGCUACUCCAACUCCUAAACCAACCCAUAGUUGAUCUCUAUAUGAGUGCGUAUGAACAUACGUUCGAAUAGAGCAAUUAAUAAUCCUCAUGAAAUAAUUCUAACCAGUUAAAUAACAAACUAUCCCUAUAUCGCAGUGAGAAUUUAUCACUGAUGUAUAGUUGAUGGCAGGAAUCUUUAGUGGAAACCACAUUGAUUUUUUAUACCUCUAAAAGCUGUGUACAUUGUUUUCCCUUUUCUUCAAGAAGCAAAUGGACUCCUACCAGCAGAACUGUCAAAUUUUCCAGAAAUUCUGGCCUUCUUAUUGAUCAAAUCCUAAAGCAUAAAACUUAUGCUCUUAAUUCUAUAGGAUCCCUAGCAGUGUCAGCCCCAAUUUCUUUAGGAAAUCCUUAAAAAAAAUUUUAGGCUUUCUCAGCAUACUUUUAACAUAAUAAAUCUGGCUGUAUCUUAAUGUUUUUAUCUUUAAAUGAACUUUGACAAUAAUGUGAAACUAAGGUGAGACAAGCAUGUCGCACACAAUACCCUGUUUGUUGCAACCUCUUUUCACAAUAGAAAUUGUUAGACAUUCUUCUCUUGACUGGCCAAAAAUGUCAAUGACAUACAACUUACAGUGCAAUAAUAAUGAUAGUGAGAGGAUUUUUAUUGACCCAUAAAAGGACAUUGUAAUUGUUGUUACACUUUAAGAGAACUCCUAUGAUACAGUGCCAUGGGUUUAUCAACACUACAUGGUAAUAGUGAAUAUAAUCCAGCAAGAAUCUUAGCGUAUUUUCAAUUGUCGCGCCUAGUUUAGUUAAGCUCAAGUGGGAGCAUCUGAGCAAAUUGAAUACUCAAGUGAUAUGUUAUGGCCCCAAAGUCAUCUACUGCAACCUUGGACGAUCAUGAUUACUAAAGGCGCCAAAGGGUCCUAGACCCAACCCACCCCCCACCCCCCUCCCUUACCCCUGUUGCCUGCGGCAGUCAAUUCAACUUUUCUUUAGAUUUUAAAGUUGUCUGAUCAGUUGGAAAGUUUUAUGUGCAGG